rnacentral:rRNA from 1 species
AUUGAACGCUGGCGGCAGGCCUAACACAUGCAAGUCGAGCGGAUGAAGGGAGCUUGCUCCUGGAUUCAGCGGCGGACGGGUGAGUAAUGCCUAGGAAUCUGCCUGGUAGUGGGGGAUAACGUCCGGAAACGGGCGCUAAUACCGCAUACGUCCUGAGGGAGAAAGUGGGGGAUCUUCGGACCUCACGCUAUCCGAUGAGCCUAGGUCGGAUUAGCUCGUUGGUGGGGUAAAGGCCUCCCAAGGCGACGAUCCGUAACUGGUCUGAGAGGAUGAUCAGUCACACUGGAACUGAGACAGGGUCCAGACUCCUACGGGAGGCAGCAGGGGGUGAGAUUGUAUGAGGGGCGAAAUCCUGAGCCAGCCAUGUGGCGUGUGGGAAGAAGGUCUUCGGAUUGUAAAGCACUUUAAGUUGGGAGGAAGGGCAGGAAGUUAAUACCUUGAUGUUUGGACUUUACAAAAAGAAUAAGCACCGGCUAACUUCGUG